UCUAUACACCCUGACCCUAUCUCUCUGCUUAAAUAUCAGCAUUUGGGUUUCUUUUUAUGGGGACCGGUUGGUUUGUGGUGCAGGCGUAGGGAAAUCAUGUCUGCUCUUACAGUUUACGGACAAGAGAUUCCAACCGGUUCAUGAUCUAACCAUCGGUGUUGAAUUGGGUGCUCGGAUGAUCUCCAUUGAUGACAAGCCCGUCGGGCUUCAGAUCUGGGAUACCGCUGGGCAAGAAUCCUUCAGACCCAUAACCAGAUCUUACUACAGAGGAGCCCUUCUGGUUGGUCUAUGAUAUAACCAGGCAUGAAUACUUCAAGUAAAAUGAAGAGUCCAAACAAUAUAAUUGUAAAGAAAUGAAGGUCCCACCAGCAACUGUUGUCCCGA